ensembl:snRNA U6 U6 spliceosomal RNA
GUGCUCGCUUCGGCAGCACAUAUACUAAAAUUGGAACGAUACAGAGAAGAUUAGCAUGGCCCCUGCGCAAGGAGAAAAAUUUCAAAAAUUAACACUAUGUAACAAUU